AGUGAACGCUGGCGGUAGGCCUAACACAUGCAAGUCGAACGGCAGCACAGAGGAGCUUGCUCCUUGGGUGGCGAGUGGCGGACGGGUGAGGAAUACAUCGGAAUCUACUCUGUCGUGGGGGAUAACGUAGGGAAACUUACGCUAAUACCGCAUACGACCUACGGGUGAAAGCAGGGGAUCUUCGGACCUUGCGCGAUUGAAUGAGCCGAUGUUGGAUUAGCUAGUUGGCGGGGUAAAGGCCCACCAAGGCGACGAUCCGUGGCUGAUCUGAGAGGAUGAUCAGCCACACUGGAACUGAGACACGGUCCAGACUCCUACGGGAGGCAGCAGUGGGGAAUAUUGGACAAUGGGCGCAAGCCUGAUCCAGCCAUACCGCGUGGGUGAAGAAGGCCUUCGGGUUGUAAAGCCCUUUUGUUGGGAAAGAAAUCCAGCUGGUUAAUACCCGGUUGGGAUGACGGUACCCAAAGAAUAAGCACCGGCUAACUUCGUGCCAGCCGCCGCCGUAA
rnacentral:rRNA from 1 species